CCUCAGAUAGCUCAGUGGUAGGAGCGGUCGGCUGUUAAACCUAUUGUCGUAGGUUCGAAUCCUACUUGGGGAG
rfam:Nicotiana attenuata strain TT chromosome 10, whole genome shotgun sequence.